UCGAUAAACGUGUAGAUCUCGUUUAUCAGAAUUUCGAGAACGAGCUUGUAUUUUCUAUAUUUAUAUAGAAUUACGAGUGUAAUGAAAGUGAGUAGAGGUUGAGAGGGCGAGUAACGAAGAGUAUGGGUAGUUAGUCGUUAAAACGAGACGAGACGAGAUAUUUAACGACUAAAUAUCUAACCUACCCUACCCCUAACCACCCCCCCAACCGCCCAAACCCACUCACUCACACUAUAUCACGUUGAUAUCAGCCACAACACACACACUAACACCUAAAACACACACACACUUCACGCAUAACACCAUUUUCUUUGGUGUUGGAGCUUUUGACUUCCGAUUUGAGCACCGAGACGAGCGCCGAUCAUCUUUUCGAUCACGUAUCUAAGUAGGUCCUUUUGGGAAGUAACGACUUGAGGGAGAGAGUGACGUUACUCAUUGAUACAGAGACACAACGAGGUUGAGCUGAUGUGAUGAUGGUGCUGCAAUGAGCGGAGUCUCCAGGGUUGUUAAUAAAUAGUUAACCUGUCUAGAAUAUGUCUUCAUACAUAUGUCUAGCUACUUUCCGCUGCAAGAUGUUGUUGAUGUUAUAGUAUGUUAUGUCAUACUUUGAGUCUUAAGAGAAUGGUUGCAUAUGAUGUAUAACUUGAUUAAUGAUAUUAAUUAAGUUUUAUGC